rnacentral:tRNA from 1 species
GCCGGAGUGGCGGAACCAGGCAGACGCCGACGAUUCAAAAUCGUCUGAGGGCAACCUCGUGUGGGUUCGAAUCCCACCUCCGGCA